rnacentral:rRNA from 1 species
UACGUAGGGUCCGAGCGUUGUCCGGAAUUAUUGGGCGUAAAGGGCUCGUAGGCGGUCCGUCGCGUCGGGAGUGAAAACUCGGAGCUUAACUCCGAGCCUGCUUCCGAUACGGGCAGACUAGAGGUAGGCAGGGGAGAGCGGAACUCCUGGUGUAGCGGUGGAAUGCGCAGAUAUCAGGAAGAACACCGGUGGCGAAGGCAGCUCUCUGGGACGGUACUGACGCUGAGACGCGAAAGCGUGGGGAGCGAACAGG